rnacentral:rRNA from 1 species
CCUACGGGAGGCAGCAGUGAGGAAUUUUGGUCAAUGGGCUUAUGCCUGAACCAGCCAAGUCGCGUGAGGGAAGACUACCCUAUGGGUUGUAAACCUCUUUUGUCCGGGAGCACUUGGCGCUCCGUGUAGCGUUAUCGAGAGUACCUGCAGACAAAGCAUCGGCUAACUCCGUGCCAGCAGCCGCGGUAAUACGGAGGAUGCGAGCGUUCUCCGGAUGUAUUGUGUUUAAAGGGUGCGUAGGCGGAAUGCCAAGUCAGCGGUAAAAUCGCGGGGCUCAACCUCGCUCCGCCGUUGAAACUGGCGUUCUUGAGUGGGCGAUAAGUAUGCGGAAUGCGUGGUGUAGCGGUGAAAUGCAUAGAUAUCACGCAGAACUCCGAUUGCGAAGGCAGCAUACCGGCGCCCAACUGACGCUGAAGCACGAAAGCGUGGGUAUCGAACAGGAUUAGAUACCCGAGUAGUC